AUGGCCAUACCAUACUCAAAACACCUGUUCUUGUCCAAUCACCAAAGUUAAGCAUCAUCGGGCGCGGUCAGUACUUGGGAGGGUGACCACCUGGGAAAACCGAAAGCCGU